rnacentral:RNase_P_RNA from 1 species
GCAGCCGGGCGGCUCGUCGCCGGUGCCGAUUGAGCGCACAGGAGGAAAGUCCGGGCAACAAGAGCGCCAUAUUUCUUAACGGGAAGCUGUCGGUGACGGCAGAGGCAACGUGACAGAAAAUAACCGCCGCUUUAGCGGUAAGGGUGAAAAGGUGGGGUAAGAGCCCACCGGGUGACAUAGUGAUAUGUCAUGCCGCACGCCUUAUGGGUUGCAAGGUCAAGUAUACCGGCUAUUAAGGACUGCUCGUCCGUUGCCGGGGGGUAGACUGCUUUAGACGCGUGGCAACACGCGCCAUAGAUAAAUGACGGGCCGGGACAGAGUGUCGUCAUCGGGUUUGCUCGACUGACAUGAAGCCCCGACAUAACCCGGCUUAUAGUCCGACUGCUUUU